CAACCAGCAAGCCACACCCUUGACUCAGAGAAGUUUCCAUUCUCCAAGGAUGAAGAUUGUUUAGAACAACAGAUGCCUAGUUUGAGAGAAAGUCCUAUGACCCUGAAGGAGUUAUCUCUCUUUAAUAGAAAACCUUUGGACCUUGAGAAGUCAUCUGAAUCACUAGCCUCUAAAUUAUCCAGACUGAAGGGUUCCGAAAGAGAAACUCAAACAAUGGGGAUGAUGAGUCGUUUUAAUGAACUUCCAAAUUCAGAUUCCAGUAGGAAAGACAGCAAGUUGUGCAGUGUGUUAACACAAGAUUAUUGUAUGUUAUUUAACAACAAGCAUGAAAAAACAGAGAAUGGUGUCAUCCCAACAUCAGAUUCUGCCACACAGGAUAAUUCCUUUAAUAAAAAUAGUAAAACACAUUCUAACAGCAAUACAACAGAGAACUGUGUGGUAUCAGAAACUCCUUUGGUAUUGCCCUAUAAUAAUUCUAAAGUUACCGGUAAAGAUUCAGAUGUUCUUAUCAGAGCCUCAGAACAACAGAUAGGAAGUCUUGACUCUCCCAGUGGAAUGUUAAUGAAUCCGGUAGAAGAUGCCACAGGUGACCAAAAUGGAAUUUGUUUUCAAAGUGAGGAAUCUAAAGCAAGAGCUUGUUCUGAAACUGAAGAGUCAAACACGUGUUGUUCAGAUUGGCAGCGGCAUUUCGAUGUAGCCCUGGGAAGAAUGGUUUAUGUCAACAAAAUGACUGGACUCAGCACAUUCAUUGCCCCAACUGAGGACAUUCAGGCUGCUUGUACUAAAGACCUGACAACUGUGGCUGUGGAUGUUGUACUUGAGAAUGGUUGCUGUUGAUGUAAGCAGUGGCCAGGCUGAGAGCUUAGCAGUUAAAAUUCACAACAUCUUGUAUCCCUAUCGUUUCACCAAAGGAAUGAUUCAUUCAAUGCAG
rnacentral:sRNA from 1 species